UACGUAGGGGGCUAGCGUUGUCCGGAAUCAUUGGGCGUAAAGAGCGUGUAGGCGGCCCGGUAAGUCCGCUGUAAAAGUCAAAGGCUCAACCUUUGAAUGUCAGUGGAUACUGCCGGGCUAGAGUCCGGAAGAGGAGAGUGGAAUUCCUGGUGUAGCGGUGAAAUGCGCAGAUAUCAGGAGGAACACCCGUGGCGAAAGCGGCUCUCUGGGACGGUACUGACGCUGAGACGCGAAAGCGUGGGAGCAAACAGG
rnacentral:rRNA from 1 species